rnacentral:rRNA from 1 species
AUGUAUUUAAAGAGUACCGUUAUUGGCAAAGGACUUACAGUUCGAAAAGAGAAGAUCGAGUGUACAAGGAAAUUGGGCAAGUGGUGUGGUGACAAGGUAAUCAACCUCAGGGUACUAACAUCUUCGUGGAAAAUAUCUUGUGAUAUGGAGUUGUACCGACCAAUUGUAGCUCGGUCUACUACACAUGCGGAACAUAGAGCAAUUGAAUUGAGGCUGUCUGAAAAAUGGUCGCUCUACUGUCAGCUUUCAGUGCUGGGGAAUGACUCCUUGGCAAUGCAUUGUGAUUGCAAGCCUAUAGGUUUUUCAUCUAGGAGAGACUGA